rnacentral:rRNA from 1 species
CCCUUAGAUGUUCUGGGCCGCACGCGCGCUUCACUGAUGCAUUCAACGAGUCUAAAACCUGCUCUGAUAGGGGUGGGUAAUCUUUUGAAUGUGCAUCGUGAUUGGGAUAGAUGAUUGAAAUUUUUCAUCUUCAACGAGGAAUGCCUAGUAAACGCAAGUCAUCAGCUUGCAUUGAUUACGUCCCUGCCCUUUGUACACACCGCCCGUCGCUCCUACCGAUUGAAUGAUCCGAUGAAUAUCAUGGAUUGAGGAUGCAAGUAGGUUCACCUAUCUUCAUCUUCGAGAAGUGAAGUAAAUCUUAUCAUUUAGAGGAAGGAGAAGUCGUAACA